rnacentral:rRNA from 1 species
AGCGAACGCUGGCGGCAGGCCUAACACAUGCAAGUCGAACGAACCCUUCGGGGUUAGUGGCGGACGGGUGAGUAACACGUGGGAACGUGCCUUUAGGUUCGGAAUAACUCAGGGAAACUUGUGCUAAUACCGAAUGUGCCCUUCGGGGGAAAGAUUUAUCGCCUUUAGAGCGGCCCGCGUCUGAUUAGCUAGUUGGUGAGGUAAAGGCUCACCAAGGCUACGAUCAGUAGCUGGUCUGAGAGGAUGACCAGCCACAUUGGGACUGAGACACGGCCCAAACUCCUACGGGAGGCAGCAGUGGGGAAUCUUGCGCAAUGGGCGAAAGCCUGACGCAGCCAUGCCGCGUGGAUGAUGAAGGUCUUAGGAUUGUAAAAUCCUUUCACCGGUGAAGAUAAUGACUGUAGCCGGAGAAGAAGCCCCGGCUAACUUCGUGCCAGCAGCCGCUGUAA